CUAGAACCUCCCUUCACAUCCCACUGUUCAGUUUCUCAUUUACUGACUUAUCUGCCUACCUACUCAAAGCAAGCAGGACACUCCUUGUGUCGUUAAUGGUCUGAGGAUCUGUACAUCACUGCAGAAAUUUCCAGGGAGCUCCCUUCUACAUCAGAUAUAAGAGACAAUAUUUGUCAUACUCUCUGCAUUCCAUGCUGGAGGUCACCAAGACUGGAAAAAAAGGAAGAAUCUGCUACCCAUUCAAGCACAAAAAAAAGAAAAAGAAAUGGCUAUUAAUUCAAUGCUUUUAAAAUAGAGAUGCCAAACACUCACUUCUAAAUAACAGCUUUAUUAGUACAACCAAACAUUUAA